rnacentral:piRNA from 1 species
UGAUCACAGAAAUGAACAACUGGAUGA